GCGUUCUGGCUCAGCUGGUCUGGGGGCGCCUCGUUGGAGCCGAGGUAGAUACCGGUGUGGUGGGUUCCAGUGCCGCUGAAUGCU
rnacentral:tRNA from 1 species